UAAAUCGGUCAAAACCGCACCGCUAACACUUCGGGAUAGUAGUGAACUUAAUAAUCAUGUAAACCGGGUUUGGUUCAUUGCAACCCGCUCAACCAUUCAACUAAACGGUUCAUGUUUCGUUGAACCGGAAGUAACCCAUUCAGAGGAAGGUUCAUGGAGUUCGAUUCCAUAGCUGAUGGAGAAACUCAUAAUCACUUUAUCGAUAUCAAAUCACAGUGAGAGACAUGGUUUUGGUUGAUAGUGUCUGUGCAAUUGUUGUAAAGGGUCAUUGGAACAAUCUCUUAAAACCCAAAAUCGCUUCUACUCUCACUUCCACCACCAUUCACCAAUGUAUCUUGCACCUCACACAACACCGUUACGAACCUUUUUUCAUCUUCUCAUUCUUCAAAUGGCUUCAUUCCAUCCCACACUACACUCAUUCCUUACAAUCUUCAUGGUCCAUGCUUCACAUACUCACCAAACACAGACAUUUCAAAACUGCACACCAGGUGCUUGAUAAAAUUGCGCAAAGGGAAAUACUUUCAUCGCCUUCAGUUUUGACCUCUUUGGUCAGGAUUCAUGAUGACCCUGAAGUUAAUUCACAUGUUUUGAGUUGGAUUGUGAUACAUUAUGCGAAAUCGAAGAUGACCCAUGAUGCGGUUCAGGUUUUUGAGCAGAUGAGUUUGUGUAAUUUAAAGCCUCAUUUGCAUGCUUGUACUGUGCUUUUGAACUCCUUGUUGAAAAAUGGUGUUACUAAUAUGGUGUGGAAGGCUUAUAAGAGAAUGGUUCAAGACGGGGUUGUUCCUAAUAUCUAUAUUUAUAAUUGUUUAAUUCACGCUUGUUUGAAAUCGAGAGAUGCGGAGAGGGCGGAAAUUAUACUGAAUGAGAUGGAAGGAAAGUGUGUGGUUCCUGAUAUUUUCACAUACAAUACUUUGAUAGCUUUGUAUUGCAAAAAAGGGAUGCACUAUGAGGCUUUGUCGGUGCAGGAUAAAAUGGAAAGAGAGGGGAUAAAUCUUGAUAUUGUUAGUUACAAUUCUCUUAUUUAUGGAUUUUGCAAAGAAGGUAAGAUGAGGGAAGCUAUGAGGAUGUUCGGUGAAAUCAAAAUUGCCACUCCCAAUCUUGUAACAUAUACUACAUUGAUUGAUGGUUAUUGUAAAACAAAUGAACUGGAGAAAGCUCUGAGAUUGCGUGAGAUGAUGGAGGCUAAGGGAUUGUACCCCGGUGUUGUUACUUAUAAUUCGAUUCUGCGCAAGCUGUGUUCUGAUGGCAGGAUAAGGGAUGCGAACAAACUCUUGAAUGAGAUGAGUGAAAAAAAAAUUCAAGCUGAUAAUAUCACGUGCAACACACUGAUUAAUGCAUAUUGCAAGAUAGGAGAUUUGAGUUCUGCUUUGAAAGUUAAAAAUAAGAUGUUAGAAGCUGGACUGAAGCCUGAUCCCUUUACAUAUAAAGCACUGAUUUACGGGUUCUGUAAAACGAGCGAGCUUGAAAGUGCCAAAGAACUAUUGUUUGGCAUGCUUGAUGCUGGAUUUUCUCCAAGUUAUUGCACUUACUCAUGGAUUGUAGAUGGCUAUUGUAAGAAAAACAAUACAGAUGCAGUUCUAGCACUGCCGGAUGAGUUUCUGAGUAAAGGUAUUUGUCUUGAUGUUUCUGUUUACAGGGCAUUGAUAAGAAGGUUAAGCAAGAUAGAAAGGAUUGAAUGUGCUGAAAAGUUGUUAGUUCAUAUGGAAGGGAAGGGUAUUUCAGGCGAUAGUGUUAUCUACACUAGUGUUGCUUUUGCUUACUGGAAAUCAGGGGACACAAAUGCUGCCUCAAAUGUGUUAGAAGAAAUGGCUAGGAGGAGGUUGAUGAUCACUGCCAAAAUCUAUAGAUGCUUUAGUGCUCCUGAUGCUAGUGAAAACAAAGUUUCACAGAUGUUCUGGGAUCAUGUGGUGGAAAGGGGUCUGAUGUCAAGAAAUACAAUGAACCCUAAAAACCAGUAAAAGAAAGUGGGAGCUGAAAAUGGAGAAAUCCUGUUAUAUUGUGGGUUUAGAUUGGGUGCUGCAAAUGGAGAAGUCGUGUUAUAGUGUGGUAACUCAACCAGAAGAUAUUAGAAGAACGAGAUGGAGGGUCAUGGUCACAUGGAGUCUGAUUUCACAACUGAGGGAAAGCUCUGCCAUAUGCCAUCGUUGCCAAUUUUAAAAUAAUGACACCUUCAUCCACAUGCAGAAAG